rnacentral:snoRNA from 1 species
ACAUGAUGCGAUACAUGGAAUUACCGCCUGACACACUUGCUUGAUGUCAUUUGCACCCUGA